ACGGAAAGACCCCAUGGAGCUUUACUCCAGCUUGAUACUGGGAUUCGAUACUGUAUGUACAGGAUAGGUGGGAGACGUUGAACAUAGAACGCCAGUUUUAUGUGAGUCGCUGUUGGGAUACCACCCUUGCAGUAUUGGAUUUCUAACCUGCACCCAUGACCUGGGUGGGGGACAAUGUCUGGCGGGGAGUUUGACUGGGGCGGUCGCCUCCGAAAGGGUAUCGGAGGCGCUCAAAGGUUCCCUCAGAAUGGUUGGAAACCAUUCGAAGAGUGCAAAGGCAGAAGGGAGCUUGACUGUGACACCGACGGGUGGAACAGGUACGAAAGUAGGACUUAGUGAUCCGGUGGUAUAAAGUGGGAUUGCCAUCGCUCAACGGAUAAAAGCUACCCUGGGGAUAACAGGCUUAUCACUCCCAAGAGUUCACAUCGACGGAGUGGUUUGGCACCUCGAUGUCGGCUCAUCGCAUCCUGGGGCUGUAGUAGGUCCCAAGGGUUGGGCUGUUCGCCCAUUAAAGCGGUACGCGAGCUGGGUUCAGAACGUCGUGAGACAGUUCGGUCCCUAUCCGGCGCAGGCGGAGGAUAUUUGAGAGGAGCUGUCCUUAGUACGAGAGGACCGGGAUGGACGGACCACUGGUGUAUCUGUUGGCUAUCAGAGCCAUGGCAGAGUAGCCAAGUCCGGCAGGGAUAAACGCUGAAGGCAUCUAAGCGUGAAGCCCCCCUCAAGAUGAGAUAUCCCUCAGAAAUGAGUAAGACCCCUUGAAGACUACGAGGUAGAUAGGAAUGAGGUGUAAGCACAGCAAUGUGUUCAGCUGACAUUUACUAAUCGGUCGAGGGCUUGACCAA
rnacentral:rRNA from 1 species